AGUGAACGCUGGCGGUAGGCCUAACACAUGCAAGUCGAACGGCAGCACAGUAAGAGCUUGCUCUUACGGGUGGCGAGUGGCGGACGGGUGAGGAAUACAUCGGAAUCUACUUUUUCGUGGGGGAUAACGUAGGGAAACUUACGCUAAUACCGCAUACGACCUACGGGUGAAAGCAGGGGAUCUUCGGACCUUGCGCGAUUGAAUGAGCCGAUGUCGGAUUAGCUAGUUGGCGGGGUAAAGGCCCACCAAGGCGACGAUCCGUAGCUGGUCUGAGAGGAUGAUCAGUCUCAGUGGAACUGAGACCCGGUUCACACUCCUACGGGAGAUAGCAGUUGGCAAUAUGAGACAAUGGGCGCUAGUCUGUACCAGCCAGACCGGGUGGGUGAAGAAGGCCUCCGGGUUGUAAAGCCCUUUUGUUGGGAAAGAAAAGCAGCAGGUUAAUACCCCGCUGUUCUGACGGUACCCAAAGAAUAAGCACUGGCUAACUUCGUG
rnacentral:rRNA from 1 species